rnacentral:lncRNA from 1 species
UCCUGUAAUAGUACAAGCUCCCAUAGCAAUGACAUAUUUUGGUUCAGGCAUUUGCUCAUAUAAUCUUACUAAAGAAGGAGCCAUUUUCAUUGUUACUGUGCCGGCUGUUAAAAUUAGGUCUGCUUGUCUAGGACUCGAUCUUGGUACCAAUCCAUAACGAUCAAAGUCGAAUCGCGAGCCUAUUAAUGAAGCAAAUUCAAGUAAUUUAUCGCAUGAAGCCAAAGAGACAAAAAAAUUUAUAAUUUUGGAUAAAUAUACUACUCAUUCACUCAAUUCAUGUAUCCCUCUAACAUCUCAACCUUUAAAUUUCAAGUCAUCAAUGAAGAUUUUGAAACAAUUAAACACAAUCCAACUUUUAAAUACCCAAAACAAAGAAAAUUGCUCCUAGAUUGUUUAUAGAAGAGACCCUGUGAACAGCGGUACUGCAGCAUACACAUUGAGAUAUGUAGACACAACUAGAAUAACCUCUGCUACCGUCUGUUUCAUUUUUACCAUCCUCAUCAAAAUUCAGCAGCGACAGUUAACAAUGGGUUUUCCUCAACCAACAUGUUAACACAGGCAACCUUAUAAAAUAUGUUCUACCAAAAUGAUUAGAUUGAUAACCAAUCAAAAUAACCCAUAGACAGCAUAUUGGCACUACUACUAGUUAAUGAAUCAUGGAUGUAGAAUUUAUCUUGUGAUCAACAUCUCCCACCAAAUCAUUUCUUUCUUUACUUCCUCCGUUUUCUAGUAGAAGAAAAACCAAGUCUAACUGCAUAUUAGGCAUAUCAUGGCAUGGAUAGUUAGAGUAAAAAUCCACAACAUUGUAAAUGCUGUUAAAAAUUUUCUUCAAUUAAUCCCCAGAUCGAUAUAUCAUCCUUGAUAUUAUGAGCAAUGAAGUCCCUAUGUGCCCGAGCGCUCCAAGUGCUCGAUAAGUGGGUUGGGCAGGAGACUUCAACGGGGCACGGCCCAGGCGCUGGGCGGGCCAAGUGCGGGUCAAGUCUGAGUCGAGCCACUUGGGAUUCGUGGUUCGAUCGAACCAUAUGAGAACAGUCUCACCCCUAAUCGCAGCGACGACGAACGAACCAGUCUUCUCCAACGACAACGGCAACAGUGAGUGUUUCCCUGGCAAACGACGCCAACAACAACGUCGUCUUCCUCCGGCGAGGUAAUAUCAUUGUUGUGUCUUCCUCUCCUAACGGUGACAGCGACAUCUUCCCCUCGCGGAAUCUCUCUCUUGCACCUCCUCUUCCCCCUUUGCCGUCGCAUACUACCUUCUCCUUCCUUUUUCUUCAUCGCAGCCGUCCUUGCUCCUCCUCCUGGACCACAGCUCCCUCUCUUUUCUCCUCCCUCUUUCCCUCCCAACCACCUAACCCCAGCAAGCUCUUCUCAUCCUCCUCCUCCUUUUAUGUUACUAUUUUUAUUAAUAUAAUAUAUAAAUUUUGUAAAUGAUUAAAUUUGUCAUUGGAUUAUUGUUACUUUUGCGGGGUUCUGUAAAUGAAUGGAUUUUUGUUUUAGUCUACUGUUAUAAAUCAUGAUAUAUAUAUCUUGCGAUCAUUUUAGCACCUUAGCGCUUGGAUUAGGAGAGGAGAAACUGAAAAUAAGAUUGCUUUACGUAGUCAUCAAUGUCAAACAUUCAUGACCACAAUCGUGAGCUCCCAAGUUCAGCCUCACACUAGAUGCGGAAGAAAAUUGAGUUGACUUACAAGACUAGAUGAAUAUUACCAUUAACUUUGGGCUUUUAGCAUUUGAUUCAUCUGGUUCAGACUUUUUUAAAGAAUGCUAUUGGAUGGAAUAUAUACUAGACAUGAUGAAAGGGCUCGACCUAUUUUAAGUGGAAGAGAUUUGACAUCUCAAAUUCCAACCUCUAAAUGAGCAUUCUAACCAAAGUCAUCAUCAAAAUAUAAAUCUUGCAUAUGUAAGAUUAAAUGCUCAAAUUAAAAGGAAAUAACAACUAAAUUAUAUACAUAGAAACAACUUAAUUUUUAUCAGCCUUCCAAGUAUGACGAUAUCCGAUAAGGAUUGCACAGAUGAUUCUGCUCAACCCAUAAGAAAAAUGAAGACAGAUAUACGCACAAUCAAACCCUAAAAUCAACAAAACAGACCGAUAUACUCAAAAGACGAAGAAGAGAAGAACAGCGGAUCGAAUGAACAAAACCAAACAAGACCCUGCUCCGCGAGAAGCAGAACAACCGAAAGAUCAAACGGCGAAACCAAUCGAGCCAAAACAAUUAAAAAUGGGACAGUGCAGGAGGGAAUAUCAUCGGACGGAAGGGAGCUAACCAUCUCCAUCAUCGUCGACCAAGCUGAAGGCCUCCUUGAACUCAGAGAUUUGCUCGUCGGUGACUUGCUUCGCCAUGCCUCCUAAGGGAUCGAACACCGGAGCGAUCCGAAGAAAGAGAUCUCUAACGACAACACGCAAUGAGAGAGAGGGAGGGAGAGACGAAGAGGGCGAAGGAGCGAUCUCGAGCGCCUUGUGACCCCGACGUGGCAGAUUUAGCGACGACAGUUAUAAAAUCCUCCAAUGGGAUAACGCCAUGUCGAUAAUCCGUUAACGGACGUCGUAUUUUUCUCUUGGUUCUUUUUAUUGCCGAGAUCAUCCUUGAUUGGAUAUCGACCGUCUGAUCUCAUACGGACGACACUCGUGCGCGUCAUCGUCUUUUUAAGGCCUGCACGUGGUGAAGCCCACGAACAAAUGCAGGUUAUGGAUUUCUAUUAGUUAUUCCAAUCUUUAACAUUCAUAAUUGUUCUUCCAAGAGUUUUAUAUAUAUAUAUAUAUAUAUGGAGAGAGAGAGAGAGAGAGAGAGAGAGUUUUGGAGUUAUCCAUCAGCUCGGCUCAAUCUCUGACUCGAACAUGACAUGAGAGAGGAAUCCAAGACCCAGUCGAGAUAAAGAAAGAAGAAGAAGAAGAAGAAGAACAGAGAACUUGAGAGUGGUGGAUUUCAGUGUGAAGUUUCAAGCUUCAGAUCUAAUACAACCUACUGAAGUGUGCACAUUUCAGCAUGCAUGUUCGAUCAGACACAGCCGCAGAACCUUAGCAACCUCACACGAGAGCUCAUAACACAAACAGCGUCGACUGCUGCAGUCCCGGAAAGUUGUCCAACAUCUCCGGGGUGAAGACAUCGUCGUCGAACAUCUCGAACGGCGCCGACGCCGUGGCCGUACGUGGAUCCAUGCCGGUGCUGUCAGAAGCCACUCCAGAUCCGGGCGCAGGCUUCACCGACGGCUUCUCCAGGCCAUCGAACACCAUCGACGUCGCUCCCGUGUCGCCGACGUUCGAGUCCCGGCCGGUGAGCUUCUGCACGAGGGCCCGGAAUUUGGCGACGCUGGUGGUGAACCGCAUGGGGUUGGAGAUGUACACCACCUUGACAGUCUUCUUCUUGCCCUUCCCUUGCUUGGGGCUCCUCGUCUGGUGGACGCUUAGCCUCCCCAUGGUGUAUGGCAAGCAAAACUAGUGUGAGAAGCAGAAGGGUAGAAGAAGGUGGAGGAAUCCGUUUAGUCCCACAGAUAUAGAUGAAGCAAUCUGGUAAGGGAGAGUUGGUCAUAUAUAAUGUAUUUUGCGGUUAAUUUCCUCCAAUAUAUAUAUAUAUAUAUAUAUAUAUAUAUAUAUAUAUAUAUAUAUAUAUAUAUAUAUAUAUAUAUAUAUAUAUAUAUACACGCGUCAAACACGAGAAGACACAUCAAAGUAAUCAAUUAUAUGCCAAUAAUUAAUGCGUUAUCAAGGUGAUAGACAUGAUUCAGAUUUAUUAGGUUAAUGUGUUAAUUAUUUUAUGGGAGACAAUACACUUAUAUUGAUGUAUAAGCGUUAUGGUAAUGGAAUAUGAUAAUACAUAUCCAUUUUCAAUAAAUAUGCUUUUAAGAGUUAGUAAUCAAAUAUUAAGAGAGAGAGAGAGAGGCUUGAUGCCUGUGGCUAAAGAUGGCUAAGACUAGUAGUAUGUGAGCCUGCCCACCCUCUUGAUUGAAAGAAGUAGGUCCUCUGUGUCAGACUGCUCCAUGUCUAAUCUCUGAAUGCAACCUUACCUUGUCUUCCCAUGGACCCUUCUACCACACCACACCCACUUCCUUGUUACAUGAGGCCAUGAGGUUAGGAGCAAUUCCCACCCAUGGGUUGCUUUCUAGGGUCUCCCACAUGCAAUCAGCCAAAUCCAUAAUAGCUUUUAUAUCAUCAGAUAUCGAUGUAUCUUUUAAUCUUUUCUUGUGACAUCAAAUGUUGUUGGUCGAUAUUUUAUUGAAAAUAAAUGAAAUAAAUAAUUUGAUUCAGUAUUUAAUUAGUUUACGUAUCAACCCUUUCGAUAUGUUUCAUAUGGAAUCAGAUCAAUAAGUCGUAGGAGUGGUUCUUGUUAUUAUCAUCAUAUUAAUAUUAUUUUUUAUAUUUAAAAUUAAAAUUAAUUAAUUUUUAAUUAUAUUACCAACCAAAAAUAAAGCACAUGUAAUGUAAAGUAAAUGUUCUAUUCAUAACUAUUUGUAUUCCACCAAAGAACAAAUGAUAUGUGAUUCUUAAAAUAUAUNNNNNNNNNNNNNNNNNNNNNNNNNNNNNNNNNNNNNNNNNNNNNNNNNNNNNNNNNNNNNNNNNNNNNNNNNNNNNNNNNNNNNNNNNNNNNNNNNNNNNNNNNNNNNNNNNNNNNNNNNNNNNNNNNNNNNNNNNNNNNNNNNNNNNNNNNNNNNNNNNNNNNNNNNNNNNNNNNNNNNNNNNNNNNNNNNNNNNNNNNNNNNNNNNNNNNNNNNNNNNNNNNNNNNNNNNNNNNNNNNNNNNNNNNNNNNNNNNNNNNNNNNNNNNNNNNNNNNNNNNNNNNNNNNNNNNNNNNNNNNNNNNNNNNNNNNNNNNNNNNNNNNNNNNNNNNNNNNNNNNNNNNNNNNNNNNNNNNNNNNNNNNNNNNNNNNNNNNNNNNNNNNNNNNNNNNNNNNNNNNNNNNNNNNNNNNNNNNNNNNNNNNNNNNNNNNNNNNNNNNNNNNNNNNNNNNNNNNNNNNNNNNNNNNNNNNNNNNNNNNNNNNNNNNNNNNNNNNNNNNNNNNNNNNNNNNNNNNNNNNNNNNNNNNNNNNNNNNNNNNNNNNNNNNNNNNNNNNNNNNNNNNNNNNNNNNNNNNNNNNNNNNNNNNNNNNNNNNNNNNNNNNNNNNNNNNNNNNNNNNNNNNNNNNNNNNNNNNNNNNNNNNNNNNNNNNNNNNNNNNNNNNNNNNNNNNNNNNNNNNNNNNNNNNNNNNNNNNNNNNNNNNNNNNNNNNNNNNNNNNNNNNNNNNNNNNNNNNNNNNNNNNNNNNNNNNNNNNNNNNNNNNNNNNAUUUUUAAUAAAUAAAACGGGAUUCAAGCUCAAGUAUCAAAAUGUUAGCGUACGUCAUUAUCAAUCAAAUCAAUGUUUUAUGUCUGACAAAGAAAACUUUUAUAAGAGUAUGAAUUCAUCAUGUUCUUAAGAGGAAACAGCAUCAUAAAAGCUUGAAAAGCCAGUUGGAACGAGCUGUCUGUCCUCCAUAGUUUUCACCCUCUUUCCUCCUCAAAAAAAAACAAGAACAAUAGAUACAAGCAAACAACGCAACUUAAAGGUUGAAAAGCCUCUUCAAGCAGCACGUUGUCCUCCCCGUCGCUGCUUUAUAUCCACACAACAUGGACCAUCUACCUGCUCUUCCUUUGUCUUCUUCCCAUAUUAUCUAUCUAUCUAUAUAUAUAUAUAUAUAUAUAUACAUAUAUGAAUAAUCUUUUUAUAAAAAAAAUUAUUCUAAAAACGCCAAUGCCAAUGUUAGAGAUCGAUCUAUUGAGAACUCCAAAUAACUUUGGGCCUCCAAUCCAAUAAGGAUCAAAAAGCGGGUCGUUGGAUCGGCCCACGGCCCACGGCCCACGGCCCAUGAAAUAGACGAGCCGGACCAUGGGCUGGUUUACCUUAUAAGAGUGAUGUAUAUUAUGUUUCCAUAAUUGCAAUAAAUUUGUUUUUUCCAAAAAUAAAUUGAAGGUUUUCUAAAAUUGCUGUCGUUAAGUGAUUGCUUGAUUACAUUCUCCAUUACUGCUAUAGCAGUAGUGAUUAGUGAAAGGAGACGACGUCGGACGGCGCCGUCAAGGUGUCGGUCAACGACAGGAAUAGGUGUGUGGGCGCCACCGCCGUCAUCAGAAGGGCCCAUCGACGGAAGAGGAAGCAAAGCACGGCCACGAGUACCCGUAUGCGAUACACGAUGUACGUAUUCUGUACAACACGUGGAGGUACAGUCGAUGAUGAGAUGGGAGUCACCCGUCAACUGCUUCAUCCUUACACUGAACAGUCGCAGUAAAACAAAAAUAUAUUUUCUUUUGAUUUAAAAACAUUUUUUUACAUUAAAAAAAGUCCCCAAUCGUCGACGCAUUGCCCAAAAAUAAAAUAAGAAUUGGAGGGGGGAUCGAAGAGCGGAGUCAAAGUAGUGGUAGGAGUGGGAAGGAGUGGCCCUCCGCCGUCUCCUCGCCCCCCCCAAAUCUAGGGUUUUAGGUGCAGGGGUUGCGUCCUAUCCGCUCCAAGUCCCUCCAAGAUCGCUCCUUUGUGGCUUGAUUCGUCUCGAUUCGUGGCGGGUUCGUGCUUCCUCGGAGGCCGACUUGUUUUUUUUGGGCCUCGAUCUCCCUCCUUCGGAAGCCGACGGGUGCUGUUUGGACGCUUCCGUCCUGUGUGUACCGGUAGGGAUCGAAGGGUUGUCGUUCUCGGUUAAGGGUUGCCCUUGCUUGUGUUUGUUGGGAGAUUCGCUUUUCUUGCUCCGAGAGGUUGGUGCGGAAAGGGGAUUCUUCGUUUCCGGUCCCGUGGAAGCAUUCUAGGUUUGUAAAGUUGAGAUCUUGGGGGGUUUUUUUUCUCCUUUGGGGCUGCUCUGUGGCGGUCGAGGAGAGGAUGGCGACGGUGGAUGGGGUGUAGGAUAGGUGCGGUUGGAGUCGAAGAUGGUAAGCUAACUGCGGCCGGGGUGCUGAGCUCUAUAUCCUCGUUGAUGGUGGUUCAGAACAAGUAUGUGUGUAGCCUCUACAACUUAUAUGCUUUGUUUCUUCUUGUUACUUCUAGAUGAAUCUGGUAUCUGUCAAUGUUCAACUUGGUUUUGAAUUUAGUUCCCGUGGUCAUAAUUACCCUUUUUUCUUUUCUUGCUUGACACAAUUGCAAUCAGCUUUAUUUUUUCUAGGCUCAGCAGCUGCGAUACCUUCUCUGUUUUCUCCCUUAUAAAUUAACUUUCUACCUCUUUGUCUAAGACAGCAACAAUCACUAUGCUCAGCGUUCCUUUUUUUUUUUUUUUUCUCAUCCUCGUUAUGGAAUUGUCAAAAUGUCGAGUGUGGACAUUAGAUAAAAUAAAAUAUUAGUCGAAGCUGUGACUUGAAACUGCAUCAAAACAACCAAAUUUGUUUGACUGUGUUUAUUGCAUAUCUCAUCUUCAGUGUUUUCAAAUGAUUGGAUCUUUGAAAUGAAUCUCUCUCAGUUGGAGACAAUGCACAGAAAAUUUAAAGGGAUGAGAAAAAAAAAGAUGAUCAUGCAGAACUUUUUGGAAUGUGUGAAAAGGAGGGGAUUCUUUAUUGUCUACUUUGUAAUGGAUCUUUGUCAUGUGAUUGUUACUGACAGAACAUAUUACAUCAUCUAGGAACUCUGUCUAGCCUUUUUCUCAAAAAUCAGACUUGAGUGAGAAAGGCCAUCUAUGCUUUCGAGGAUGAAGAAUACUAUUGACUGCGGUUUUGAUUAAUGAUCACUACACUAAAGUUUUGACAUUGCUAAACAGGAAGCAAUGUUUUUACUGUAUUAUUAGGUUGGUCUUUGAAGACGAGCCGGCAUUUGUCAUCAAACAUUUUGGAACAUUUAGUUGAUGCAUGUAAUUCUUUUGUAUGACCCACAGGUUUAUGUAAAGGAACAACUUGGCAAAGUCUGUCAAGAAAUCCAAAAUGGGAAGAAAGACUAAUACUAUGUUAUUGCAUGGCUCUUUGAAGGUUACUAGAGUUUUCAUUUCUUGUGAAGUUUUGUAAUGUGAAUACUUAGGCUUAUAAAAGAAUGACUUGAAGAAGUAUGUGAAGAUAAAUGGAUAAGUAAUGUGCCCAGUGCCAUAAACCUAAAAUUCACUGUGGAUAAGAAAUUUUUUUUCUUUUGAUCUUCUGUAGAAAAAGGAGAUAAGGGGUUCAUCAAGGAAACUUUUCACUUUGCUUAAACCUCCAAGUAUCAUGGUGCAUCAUGCCUUUCGAUAUGGAAUUCUCAAGCUUAACCUGAAAUAUUUGUUUGGUUGUUGCAAGGUUUACUUUUUGUUGUUGCAAUUUUAGAUGUUAUUAAACUUCCAAAAUGCAAGGCUUGCUCAAAGGGAUGGAGGAAAAGGGUUGGUGUAGCAAAGCUAUAUCUAUGAUUUUUGAAAUUCAAAAAAUUGGCAGAUCCCAAUUCCAUUGUCAUCUUGGGAGACUUGGCUGAUAUUGAUGGGUUUCAGUUGUCUUUGGUUGAUUUUAAUUGAUCUUGUUCUUUGUCAAGCCAAUUCUUACUGAUCACAGGAUCAGUCUGGUGAAAUUUUAGUCAAGUUGCACGUUCUUUCACUUCUACCAGCUUUUAGUAGAAUUUGGUGGAGCUUUUAGCACCAUGCUGAUACUGGCCUACCGAGGAGGAUCAUUUAUGGCAGAUCCAUCCAGAUUUGGUAGUGAGACUGUCAUGAUAUCAACCUCUUGUAUCAGACUAGUUGUGAAUGUGUACACUUGUUGAUUUGGGUCAACAUGCAUAUGGACACGGUCGAGUUAAUUUAUUAUUUAUCUCAAAUCAACAUCAUUGUUGGUCCCUUUAUAAGCAUGCUUUUGUGCUUCAGAAUGGUUGACGUAGCAAGAAAAGAAAGUAAGGAGAAUGAAGAAAUGUCUGGAGGGGAAAUGUGUUUGAAGAGGAAAGAGAGGAAAUUAGGGAAAGAGAAUGUGGAAAAUUGGAAUAAACAACAGGGAGCCAGGUGGCUGGGACCCUCUGUCAUGUUGUUCUGGUUAGUAUGACCUGUGCCACACAUCAAAUGAAUACAUAGAUGAUUUGGUUCAGCAUGCAUAAUUCAGUACGCAAAUGGGUACCUUAUGAAUCACUGUUCUGUGUGCAUCACAUUUGUGCUGCUAUACGCAUUGGCUUUUUGAGCUUUAGCAACUGCUACUUUGCUUAAUGGCAACUGCUAUUUUACUUAGUAGAUUCAUUAAGUUAGCUAGGACGAAUAGACUUGAUUUAUUUGGGUUUCAGACCUAAGACAAAGAAUUGUGUAGGGAUACAUGAUAGAGAAGUUUUCAUUCUUACUGAUAACUGCACAGGAGAAUAUGUUUUGGAUUGAUGUUAGAAAGUUGAGCUUCCAAUAACAACAAAAAUAUGUUCUGAACCAAGGUUUUCUUCACCAUAAUAUUAGCUCUUUAAAUUUUUCUUUGAUACUAGAAAUGCCAUCUUUUAAAAAUAUCUACAAAAUAUUGAUGUAAGUAGUAUGAAAAAAUUGGAAAUUACCUACUUAAUUUUUCUUGAGGAAGCGUUGGAUGCAUCUUAAGCAAAUUUCUAUUGGUCCCAAAUAAGAUUAUCUUAAACGGGAAAAUAUUCUAGAAGGCCGAAACUAAUUAAGAUUAUAUCCUGAACUCUUACCUUUAAUCUAAAAUGGUAGCAGGACCUAUGAGUUGCCUUGUCAUUUGUGCUGAUCUGGCAGCUAGCAUGCAAUAAAGUGCUCGAGCCAUAAAUUCCUUCUCUGUUUCGUAUUCUCAGUUAAGAAAGUUUUCACAUAUUCUUGUAUUUUAUAGCUUCACAUGUUAGGCUAGCUACUUGAUGCUGGUAGGAAAACACUCUCCUUAUUUUUUAUUUUCCUGGUAACAGACUCCACAUUCAGCUGCUACUGUUGAGUGUUUGACUUCUCUCCAACAGAAGAUUAGCUUGGUGCCAUAAUCUUGCAGUCACUUUGAAAACCAGGAAGAUUUUCGACAAUGGCAGAUACUAGUCCUAGGACAGAUACCUCCACAGAUGUAGACACAGAUGACAAAGAUCAGAUGGUGAUUUUCUUUGCUCUUUUUUUGGAAAGUGAUACAAACAACUGAAUGUUAUUAUAUGCAUCAUCUGAAUGUUAGGUCGUCUUUCUUCCUUGGCUGUUUUUUUUUAAAAGAUGAAGUGGGGAAAGUCUCAUCCAUUCUGUUUCUUUAUUCUCUUUUUUUUACCUGCCCUUGCAAUUUUUGUUUCUGCACUAUGUUAAAGUACUGUAAACUGCAUUACUUCUCUGUAUGCUUUUCGUUAAGUGCAUAUAAAGUACGCCAAGUAUGAGUAAUUUUCGGUCAACAAUUUGUAUAUUACUUCUUUCUGUGCAAUAUUUAAAAAACUGGGUUGUUAGACCUAGAAGUUCGGAUGCCUCUUAUGCAUGCUUAUAUGCUUCUCUGGUUCAUUACUUUGUUGAUUUUCCAUGACCACUUAUCUCUACUUUUAUGUCAUUUCUGUAUGCAUCUUUCCUUAGCCUUAGAAAUUAUAAACGCAUCAUUGACAUGAUUUUUCCUGGAUUAAGUCUGUAUGUCUAAGAUUUGGUGCUGAUUCAGGAUUAAAGGAGGUUGUUUUGGAAUGGAAUCCAUUAUGUUCUUUGUGGUUGUGUUUCUGAGGACUUCCAAAUUAUGAUUCAAAUCAACUUUGAUGUCAUCUAUAUUACUUCUUUUGGCAUGUUGCAUGAAACAUACUGUAGAACACAACCUAGCGAAUAAUGGAACUUUAGAAGCUUUUAGAUGUACAUGUUGUAAGUAGAGCAGGCCACGAUGAUGAUUUUUAACUAUAAACCUGUUUUGAUGAGUUUAAUUGUCAUGCAUUGUAGAAUGAACCUACUUGUUAAGUUUAAGCUAUGGUCUUUUUAUUGUCAAGGACCCAGUUUAUACAUAGUAACUUGGAGCAUGAUAUCUUUAUAGUAUGAUAGGUGGCGUUGAUAGAAAUGCAACCAUGAUUUUGUGUUCAUUGUAGUUAUAUGUCAACACAGAAUUUGACUGAUUUAGAGGAUUUAUGGCCACAACAUGUAAAUGGAUUAUGCUAAUAUUUGUUUUCUGAUUAGAGGUGAAUGUACAUCUUCAUGUCACUUGAAUUUAAAUUUCAUUGUCCUCUGCGACUUUGGAUUUCUUUAUCUUGAUUUGCAGUUAGAACAAGGACAACUUGCUGUUGUUGCAGCAUCUGAUUCAAGUGACAGGUCGAAGGACAAAACACUGGACCAAAAAGUAACUAUAUUCUGCAUUUUACAGUCAAUUGUCACCUUCUGUAUUACUCAAAAAGUACAAUAACAUCAUUGAACAUUUUUGCCGGACAGACACUUCGUCGACUUGCUCAGAACCGUGAAGCUGCCAGAAAGAGUAGGUUAAGGAAAAAGGUAAUUCAUCUAUAUCUCGCCGGAGGUUUUAUUGCUGCUUUGUGGUAGCACUAAUAAGAAACAGUAUUUUAUGUUAUUGGGUAAAGAGUUUUGUCUAAGAUGAUGUCAUUAGGAAUUAGUUGAUGCCAGGUUGAUGACCCUGUUGUUAGUUCUCCAUGUAGCCUCCACAAUUUUAAUUUGUACUUUAUAGCUUACCUCACAAUAGUAGGUAAAUGUAAUGACCUGUCUAUCAUUAUGUUGAUUUGGCAUAGAAGUGAGCUCAUUUUGCAAAUGUAAUUGAAAUUUGUAUUAUGAUGAACAUUCCUUUUUUUUUCCUUUUCAUGCAAAUAAGAUUUUUUAUGUUAAUUUUAAUCAGAUGUGUUUCUGAUUAAUUAUAUAUUCACCUCUCUCCUUAAAUUACAAGGCUUAUGUACAACAACUAGAGACUAGUAGAAUGAAGCUUACUCAACUUGAGCAGGAGCUCCAAAGAGCUCGCCAGCAGGUGUGACCCUUUUCUUGAUCAUCUCCUCUUAUCUGUCCUAUUGAGAAUUAUUAUUUUUUAACAUUGUGGAUUAUGUAGUCAGGUUGAGAUUUAUGUCCUUUUUGCAGGGAAUUUUCAUUUCUAGCUCAGGAGAUCAAACUCAUGCUAUGGGUGGAAAUGGUAAUUUCUCUUGCAUGAUUUCUUGUUCUAUUUUUGUGUUUAUGAUAACCUUGUCCAUAACAUACAUAGACGAGUAUAUUUUGAUUUGAACGACUGGCAUAAGUGCAUUUGUCACAAAGGUUUUUCUCCAUGCUACUUGUACUUUUUGUCUAUACUUAACCUGAUAUUUUCUGUUUUUGAUAACUUAUAGAAAAGUAGCGUAACGAGGGUUUAAUAAGGGUUCAUCCCUCAACAGAUUUGUAAUCUGAAUUUACAUUCAAACUGGCUAACUUUUGUUCUUUCAUAUGAUAAAUUCAAAAUCAUAUAUGGCUACCUUCGUUACAUGCUAGCAUAGAUUGUGUUUUAGUUUAUUUGCCACCUGUCCUAUAAUCAGUGUCUAAAAAAAUAAUCAUUGCAGGGGCCUUGGCUUUUGACGUAGAAUAUGCACGAUGGCUUGAAGAACAUAACCGGCAGAUCAAUGAACUGAGGACUGCAGUGACUGCUCAUGCCAGUGAAAAUGAUCUCCGUGUUAUUGUUGAUGGCAUCAUGGCCCAUUACGAUGAAAAAUUUAAGCUUAAGGGUGUUGCUGCCAAGGCAGAUGUCUUUCAUAUAUUAUCAGGGAUGUGGAAGACACCAGCCGAGAGGUGUUUCUUAUGGCUGGGGGGUUUCCGCUCAUCUGAGCUUUUAAAGGUAUGGGACUUUGUACCUCGCAAUUUUUUCAUGCUACCUGAAGUUUACUCCAUCAAAUGAAUGUGCAGUGGAAGCAAUCUAAAUUGGCUAACUUUUUUUUUUUUGUAAAAUGUCUAAUUUGGAUUCUCAUUGGCUCCCCAAACAGUUGGGACGUACACAUUGAUGUCAUCAUCAUUGUGGAUCUCUCUUUGGGUGUUUUCUUUUUUCCUUUUCUUUUUGUUGGAUCACUAUCUCAGUUCUCAUUAUGCUGCAACUUCACAGCUACUUGCAAGUCAGCUGGAGCCACUUACAGAGCAGCAAGUAAUGGGCAUUUGCAACCUGCAGCAGUCAUCACAACAGGCCGAGGAUGCUCUCUCUCAAGGGAUGGAGGCAUUACAGCAAUCCUUGGCGGAAACAUUGGCUGGAUCACUUGGUCCAUCUGGAUCCUCAGGAAAUGUUGCAAACUAUAUGGGUCAAAUGGCAAUGGCGAUGGGCAAACUUGGAACUCUCGAGAGUUUUCUUCGUCAGGUGAAUUUUACUAAUGCUCAGAUUUUCCGUCUCCUAUUUAUCUAUUAUAGCACAGAGGCUACUGCAUACUUUGGAUUAGUUUGCUGUUGUGCAGUUUUAUCAUUUCUGUGUUCUCUUUCUAUUCUCUAGGUCUUUUUGGUGUCUCAUUUUGUAUCCAUGUAGCCUUGCUUCUCGCUGUCCAAAGAAGUACUGAACUUGAAAUGAUUAUCAUUCACGACUGUUUCUGUUUAUUUUUUCCAGGCUGACAACCUACGACAACAAACACUGCAACAGAUGCACCGGAUAUUAACUACUCGUCAGUCUGCACGGGCACUUCUUGCCAUCAAUGAUUACUUCUCACGGCUUCGUGCCCUCAGCUCUCUUUGGCUUGCUCGGCCGCGGGAGUAAGCCAAAUUUGUUAUUUGUGCCUUACCUGAGCUCAUUUCUUCCUACUCUUAGAGCUGAUCACAAAAAUAUCUAUCUUAUCGGUCAGAGUUACUACUAGCUCCAGUAUAUCAUGGCUGGCUGGAUGCUUGCAGUGUAGUUUUAGACACUCGGUGGAGCUAAAACUUAACUCAUGUACAGCAAGAAUAGCCCACCAUUCUCAUGCGAUGUACCAUUAACUUGUGCGAGAAAACCCACCUCAUGUUGUUGGCGUUCUGUAAGCUUGUAUUGUCUCAGUUAGAAAAAAAUGAUUAUUGAAUAAUCACGCAGAAAUUUUACCUAAUGUUGUUUCUUGCGAAUUGAAGCUGUUGAUAUGUUUAUGAGAAUGCCGUGCAAAGGGUGAUGUUGUGUUCCUAUCUGAGAACAAACAGGCUAUUGGAUCCUCUUUAUGCCACCGAUGCAUGUGUUCUGAGAAUGCCGUGGAUUCUAUAUGGUAACGUUUAUCUAACAUUUUCCAUGAAGAUGUUUUGUAGUCGAACAUAUACAUGCAUCAAAACCAAAGAGACAAAUCCAAACAAGAAGCAAAACAGUACAGAAGGGAAAGCCAUGCAUGAGUGCGUGGGCGGAUCAAAUGUAUGCUUCAGUCGCCAAGCGUGGGCUCAGAAGCGCCUUGACAGGCACAGCCUUGGGGAGCGCCAACCCAAACUUCUCCUCCAUGUCGAGCUCCUCCCCCUCCGGCAGCUUCCAGUCGAACGAGUGCACCAACGUCGCCAGCAUGUACUGCACGAACACCAUGCCCACGAGCUUCCCCGCGCAGAUCCGCCGCCCGGCCCCGAACGGUAUCAGCUCGAAGUCGUUGCCCUGCGGGUCGAUCUUGGCCGCCUUGCCGGAGACGAAGCGGUCGGGGUCGAACGCGAGGGGGUCGUCCCACGCGGCGGGGUCGCGCCCGAUGGCCCAGAUGUUGACGAGGAGGCGGGUGUUGCCGGGGAUGUAGUAGCCGUUCACGUCGCACUCCUCGAAGGAGAAGUGGGGGAGGCCGAGAGGUGUGGACGGGUGCAGGCGCAGCGCUUCCUUGCACACCGCGUGCAGGUAGGGGAGCUUGGGCAGGUCGGAUUCCUGGACCAUGCGGCCUCGGCCCACCACGUAGUCGAUCUCGGAUUGCAGGCGGCGGAGGAUGCUCGGGUUCUUCAGCAUCUCCGCCAGCGCCCACUCCACGAUGACCGCCGACGUGUCGGUGCCGGCUGUGAACAGGUCCUGCAUGCAGAGUGCAGACGUGAUCAGCAACCAAGGUUUGAUCAAACGAAGGUUAGAAUCUCGAGGAGUGCUGAUGGUGUCCUCCUCGCCCCACCGGCCAAUUCAAGAAUAGCCUUCGGAACCUAAUCUAAAGAUGGAUGGUGACGCAUGCUGGAGUGGAGUAGAUUUGUAAGUUAUUCGAUGGGCAUUUGGUCGAGCACCUUAAUCAGACACCUAAUCUUGGGAGUGGAAAGCUCAAGGAGAACUCACAAAGAUGAUAGCCUUGACGUUGACGUCCGUGAUGGUCUCGCCGUCCUCUCCCUCCCUGUUGGCCAUGAUAGUGUCGAUGAAGUCCGGCCUCCCUCUGCGCUCCUCCUUGGUGGUCUCGUGCUCCUCCAACAGCUUCGUCACCAUGGCGUCGAACCGAACAUGCACCCUCCGCAUCUUCGCCUGUACCCGCUGCAGGUCCAUCCACGCGAUAGCCGGCACGAAGUCGCCGAUGUUGAACAGCCCGCCCCCAGUCAGCAGCUCCACGAUCAUGUCCUUGUAAUGGUUCGACUCGAUGCCCUGGACGUCGAACACCCGCUUGCUCACCACUAUCUGGCCAAUGAUGUUGGCCAGGGCGCACACCAGCAUCUCCGGCAGCACCACAGGGCGGCCCUCCGCGGCCGCUCGGUGCAUGGACACGACCAUGUGGCCGAACUCGGCGCGGCGCACCGGGGCCCAGUCGGCAAGCGCCUUGCCGCCCAGGAGGUGGAGGCUGCAGAGCUUGCGGAGGAGCUUCCACUUGGGGCCGUAGUCGGCGAACACCAUGUUCUGGCGGUGAUAGGUGACGUCCAUGGCGCUGAUGACGUUCGGGCGGUUGGCGAACUGCGCGUCGUGGGCCUUGAGGAAGGCGCGGGCAGCGCCGGCGUCAGAUGCCACGACGCAGCCGCAGCUUCCCAUCUUGAGGUACAUAAUGGGGCCGUAGCGCUGGGCCAGGCGGGCUAGGCCGGUGUGCGCCUGGAGGCCGACGAGGGGCAAAGCGCCGAGGACAGGGUAGCCUCGGGGGCCGGGCGGGAGGGGGAGGCGAGAGGGCGACCUGUGAAGGAAGCGGCGGAGGAGGUGGUGGAUGACGAGGCAGAGCGCGGCGGUUGCCGCGAUGAAGGGGUCGAUUUGCAUGGUGGUGCUCAGCAAACAGCCACAAGCAAAUUGAUUAUGUUAUGUGAUGCUUAGUGCCGAGCUGUCGAUAUAUAUACACACACAUAUAUACAUACAUAUAUAUAUAUACAUAUAUACAUACAUAUGUAUAUAUAUAUAUUUACAUAUAUAUACAUACAUAUAUAUAUACAUAUACAUACAUAUACAUGUACAUAUAUAAAGACAAGCAAACGAUAUGAUAUACAGGGACAUCAUAAUGUACACAGCACACACCACACCAUUGAAUGAUUACAGUCACUACACAUCGACUCCGGACCAUAGUGGAGACUCGGUUGUGAUGUCGGUCGACUUCUACCAUCGAAAGACACAGGAAAACUCGAAGAGCAUUGCUCACCAAACAAGUUGAUUGUUUCAUACUCCAUCUAUGAUGAAUCAAAACUAUCAUGGAUCCAUUAGCCGCUGUUGCCGUCCACUUUAGAAGGUCGGAUAAGACAUUAGGGUCUCCACCACGAACACACAAGCCGAGAAGGUUCUCAGCAAGUGGAGCAGACACCGAGUGUGCGGUUGGGUGGGUGCGUAGAGGUUGGUGGCAACUGUUUCAAGGAUUUGCAAUGGGAAGACACCAACGGCGAAGGAAAUCAUGGAUGAGGAGGGCCAGACAGCAAUGUGGUCUGCUGGUGUAGCUUCCACUUCAAACAAAGACAAAACUAAAAAGGCCUCAGAGGCGAUUGAUUCCAUGUCACCACCGUCUGCAUGGUCUCAUAAAUUAAUUACUUUGCUCGCAAGUGUUUGAACGAUACGAUACGCUACCUUUCUUUCUCUACCAACUGUUACUUGAUUGAGACUAUAUCAUGUUGUAGUAAUCUUUUAGUUAUUGGCAACAUGAGAGAGAUUAAGCUAUAGUUUUUUCUUUAUUUUCGUCGUAAAGUAGUAACACACAAAUUACUUUCUCGGGGAGAUUAAUGUACUCGGAAGGAAAGAAUGGAUGAAUAGAGACAACAAAGUCAAAGAUGUAAAGCUGCUAGCCGUCGCUCCCCUCUACCUACGACGCCCACAGCGGCGGUGGACUUCGUAGUUGGUGAGAUAGCGUCUUGUGGGCCGUUGUUGGCCUUCUAUUGUGGCGUCUGUCACUUCACGUUUGGGGUUCCUGUGGGUUGCCACUCCAACCAAAUUCUUGCAGCCAUCGAAUUAAUAAUUGCCACCGGUUGGUAGUCAUCAUUGCUCUAAAUAUCGACAUCCAGUAGUAUUUGGUGGGUGGGUGAGUGGGAUGGAUGGAUGGAUGGAUGGAUGGAAAAGAGAUUGAAAGGGGGCACACAAUAAAACAAUCAUAAGAAGAGUAAAAUUCAACUAGUUUGAAGACCCGUUACAGCAGCUUAUUUGUAGAAGAAUACUGUGUGUGUGUGACAACAAGCGUGUCAUCGAAACCUUUUCAUAUGGUGGGAUACGAACACAUUUAUAUUAAAGCAUGCAAGCUGAUCACACUACAUAAGUAGUAUUUGCUUUUCCACACACCAAUAAGUCUUAAAAUAAGGUAAAAAAAAGUGAGACAACAGAAUGAAUGAAUUGCACACCGAUGUAACACUGCAUUGAGUAAAAAAGACAGGAAGAAAAAGGUCCACGACAUAGAUAUUAUUUAAAGAUGGUAAGAUAUCCUAAGCAGCAUCCAAUCCCCCAUAUUAUCUUCUAUCAACAAGAAGUCAGUAUCAAAGGUUAGAUACUACCUAGAGGACCUUCAAUUGACACACACAAAGAGUUCUAGCGCUAUAUAUAGAUAUAGAUUAUAUAUAUCAUGAAGAGCCACACCUAGGCAAGCACCAACACCUGAUUGAUUGCUUUAAGUUACAGGACCAAGUUAUCCCUCAUCCUUGUUGUACACAGAUGAUUCUUCUAAGCAUCAACCAACCAACAGAUGCCCUUCCGUCAGGGAGAUGCCCAUGCAAAGUAGUUACAGACAGCGCGCCUAGAAGCAGUCCAAUUCCCGCACCCAAAGAAGCAUCUGCCUUGGGUUGGUCCCGGCUUGCGGACGACACACUUGCUGCUCAACACCCCACAGUAGCAAAACAUUUGCCUCUCCUUUCCACCAGAGCUCACAAAGGGAUGAAACUGGAAAGGAGCACCUACCAGCUCUUUGGGUUUUUGGGUGUGCUGGUUUUGAUCUAACAAAAUAUUUCGUGACGUCUCAUAUUUAAGGGGGAACUCUGAAGUCUGUGACAUUAAGGAAUUGGUGAUGGAGAACUUAAAGCCCAUAUCCAUGAGAUGAACGAGGAGGCGGGCAGUAUUACGAGCAUCAUCGAGGCCGCAGUGUGCACGGCCCUCCCAUGUCAAACCGGCAAGCUGGACAGCCUCCUUGAGAUUGCAGCGAACACCAUGAAACAUUUCCUGAAACGGAACCUUUAAGUUGAUCCACCUGCUCAAAAUAAUGGAGAAGAGAUGUUUUCAUCACUUUGAAAUCAAUUGCAUUCAAUGUAUGUUCAAUAAAAUGUCUUUGCUGAGCAGUGAAUUAAGACAUCAAAGAGAUACAUUGAUGAACUUGUUGGAAGCAGAUUUAUCAACAACCUCAUAAUUAAAUACACAACGAUGUCGUCUGGCAAAGUGUCAACAAGCAUUCUUUCCUGCUUUGUCAUUAAGAAGCAAGAGCAGCAUGGAUUGAUCUCGAGAUUAAGUCAAAUAGGUUUGAUAUACAUACAUAGAAAGAGGAGUAUGAGAAGUUUAUGGUAAAAAGUUCUGCCAGCAGAAUCAUGGUGACCAAUUAAUGAACUUCAUGAAGAAAAUCUACAUUGUGUCUAGAACAACUAUUACUAAUCAGAUGAAACACACAAUCAUGGCAAGGAAGAGUGGGUAAUCCGCUGGAAAGAAGAUUGGUGAACCAUCAACAUGCAUGAUAGUUACCUGUUAAAAUAGGGAGGCUUCCUGAUCCUUUUGAAUUUGCAUUCAGAUUCUAACAUAACACGACAAUCCCAGUUAGACCAUGUCACUACAGCAAAGUUUUUGUGCUUGAUUCCUUUCUUUUCUAGCCAUUUAUCAUGCAUGAGUAGAGCUUCACUUAGAGGAACACCUCUGUCUACCUGAAACUCCAGAAAAGGAAAAGGUUAACACCUUCGUAUUGAUAUAAUAUCAAGCAAACUAUUCAACUGAACGUGACCAAUCUCACGCAGUACUUUGUCCAACAAAAUUCAUUACGGUUACCGAUUGGAUAGUAGCAAUGUUGUUAAAAGACUUCAAUUUGCUACUAGAAAAACAAGUUCUAGAUUUUGGGAAUCAACACAAUGACAUUUGGAGAAAUGAAUUCAACAUGAAAACUAUAAUCAAAAAAAGAUUUGUCAUUAUUAAUUUAAACCAUGAAAUGAUAGGUCCCGAUGGCAUAUGAAUUUUGCCAAUACUGAAAUUGUCGCAGACAAGAAAAACAGAACCAUCUUCAGGCUUCAAAGUUGGGCAGCAUCACAUAUGCUUUGCCAAUGACCAAGGGCAUAAAAAACUUAUCUUGAUAGAUUAAGCAGCUGUAUCGAGCUUAAAACAUAUUAAUAAGCCUUAAAGCAGCAUUUGCAGAAAGCUUUUGAUGUCUGCACAAACUGGAUAGAUAUACAUUUUUUCCCAUCAGAACAUGAGAAAGAUGGGUACGCCAGGGCGCAGCCAUAACAGUCAACUAUUAAUCAAUGAUUUAAUAACCAUCUACACUAACUUAAAGCAUUGGCGACAGAACAGUUGCGUAAUGACUUCUUGUACUUAACCACACAUUCUAGAGUGAACAGAAAUAUACUCUUAGACAAUCCUUUAUGCAACCACAUAUGUCUACAUAAACAACCAUGAAGACUAAAUGAGACCAUCUAAGAGUUGAGUAACCAUUUCUUUUACUUAAGCACACGUUCUAGACAGUGAUUGAAAGAGGCGCUCGGGCGCUCGCCNNNNNNNNNNNNNNNNNNNNGCUGCUCGCGCCUCCAGCUGCUCGCGCCUCCCGCGAGCCCUCCAGCUGCUCGCGCUCCCGCGAGCCCUCCAGCUGCUCGUGCUCCCGCGAGCCUCCCGCUGCUCGCGACUCUCGCAAGCCCUCCCGCGAGCCUUCCCUCUGCUCGCGCCUCCCGCGAGCCCUCCCGCUGCUCGCGACUCCCUACUCGCGCCUCCCGCUGCUCGCGACUCCCGCGAGCCUUCCCUCUGCUCGCGACUAGAAUUUUUAUUUAAAAUAGCAUAUUUUUAUUUAAAAUUUUAAAUAGUUAUAUUUAUUAAUUAUAUUAUAUAUUUUUAUAUUUUAGCGCCUCGCUUCUCUCGGGCGAGUGCCUCGGAUGUUUUUGGACCUUUGCGCCUUUUGGCGCCUAGCGCUUUUUAAAUCACUGGUUCUAGAUUCAACAGAAAUCACUCUUAAACCAUCCUUGCUCAUAUCAAAGCAAAAAAAGAGAAUCUUACUAGAUUGUUUUUCUUUGGGUUAAUCCGAUCAUGACUUAAAAUGGCGAAUAAACAGGUACAACAUGGACUAGUAAUUACUAGUCCAACCAAGCAACAGUGACAGGUCAUGCAGCUCGGUGGCAUUCCUUAUAUUACAAGGACAACAAUAAACAAAGUCAUAAGUCUCAACUAUUUGGGAUCGGCAAGGUAGCAUCCUUAUACUGCUCAUUUUAAUUUUGUAUUAUUUUAUUCUGCAACAACAAGCAGUACAGUUAGUAUACCGUUCGAUGUCUCAGUACCGUACCAUCUAACAAGUUAUUAAAACCAGUAUCUAAAAACCUCAAAUCAGCAGAUACAAUUUCUUUGCAAACUUGGUAAAAGACUAUAGAGAAAUAACCAAAUCCAAUUAUAUCUGUGAAAAGAAGAAAACAAUUAAUCAAAAACUCUUUACACGCAUAAUGAAAUUCAAGCAGAAAAUGAGGAUAAACUGAUAUGCGUAAAAAUUAAUAAAAACAGAUCCUCAAAUCAGCAAAAGAUAGCAUAGAAAAUAGAGGCAAAAUUUGAGCCUAUAUUAAAUGCAGAAGAAAGGCCAACUCGAAUCCUUUGCAUUUGUGAACUUAGGUUCGGACUGGAUUUAACAAGUUUUUCAUUUUAGUCAACUUCUUUUUUUUCUUUCGAACAGUUUUAGUCCUUUGAAAUGAACUUGGCUGAGGAUCUCAUCCUAAUCAGUUCAGGAUUGAUUGAAGAAUCCACGAAUAAGGAAACCUAUAUCGAUCAAGUAUUAUGUACAAAGGGUAGAUAAUCUUCCAAAAUUCAUUUAGAAGUAUAUCAACCCCAACGAAAGAAAGUUUAUAGACCUCAGUUAAAGGGAUGGAAUUCUUGAUUGUAAUUUUUUUAUUGUAAGCUUGUCAAAAAUAUUCUUUUCUUCUUGUACAUAGGGGUAUAUGAAAAGGGAGAAAAAGGCAUAAUGUGGGCCAUUACUGGAAAAGGGCAGCAUCAAUGUCUAUUUCUCCACUCAAGCCUGGUAUAUGUUUGAACCUGAUAUUUGUAUUUUAUUGUUCAAUUGGUUUUUAUAUGAAUUAAACAUGUUUUCUCGAAUCAUCUUCUCCAUUUUGUCUCUUUUAUAUUCUCUUGUUGCUCAUUCAAUUGCCAACCCCAAUGAGCCUUAGCACCCUCUAGGUUGUCCUAUAUCAGUUCUACUCCCCAACAAUCAAUUAAUGAAUUCACAUAUUAAUUCUUAACGAACUUAUAUCUAAACAAAUUUAGCGCUCUUCACAAAAAACUUAUCAUAAAAAAGUUGACAAAUGACUGCCCAAAAAAAGAUAAGAAAAUAAGCAUACAGUAGAUGCCGUCCCAUAUCAUACUGACAGAGGUGGAAAGAUAGCACAACAGCUUCAAUUUGUUAAAUGAGCCACUAAGCCAUGCUAGCAUACUAUGCAAACUAAUACUUUUACUUGUUCCUUAGUUCUUCAAAGUUCAAACUAAGCUAGGCCAAGGAACAAGGUGUUUACUACUUUAACAUAUGGAAAAGUUUUAUUCUGUUAACCUUGGGAACUCCAAAACAGAAUUGACUGAUUCCAUCUCUUUGAAAAAAUGUUAAAGAGCCAACAAACAUGUUUACAGCAAUGUGGUUGUUGAACAAACAAUGGAAUAUUUAACUACAAUCUGAUUUUUGGACCAGAACAAGCCAUUUAACUUUUUUCUUCUUGUAGUAUGUUUCAUGAAAUAGUUUGCUUCUUUCUUAUACAAUAUGCCUUGGAGUGUUGUGUGUUGGCAGAAUAUAUUCUAUGCCUUCAUAGACCUGCAUGACACCAUUUCAUCGCAAGUCAUUAGACAGUACCAAAAGAAGCUGCAUUCAAUGUCAAUCUAUACUAUUCAGUGUCAACCUAAAGAAAAAAAUGGUUAGCCCCCUUGGUUAAUGUUUUUUGUCAAUUGACGUUCACAUCAAGCAUGAGCAAGUAUAAAAGUUGGAGCUGACUAGCAGCAAGUUGGUAAAUCUCAGUAUGUGCAAACUGUCAGAAACCAAAGAACCUCUUGCAUUUAGCUAAGACAAUGUUUUGAUAAAAAGGAAAGACUCUCGGCACAAACAAGGGUUUUCAGUGAUAGUCUCACCAAAAAAUGCAUAUUAAGGAAUGAAAAUUCAUUUCUCCUAAUAUCAUGAAGCAGUCAGCCAAUCAGUAUGAUAAGGAAACAGCCACCAUUCAGAAAUAUGAUGUUCCAUAAUACAUGUAUUCCGUGUGAGAUUAAAUAUCAUUAAAGCAACAAUUUAUAUGGACUGGUAUUGUCAUAACCCAUAGCUAAGAAAUAAAUAUAAUUAUCCUAUAUUGAGAAAUGUAAGAAAUAACCAAAAAAAGGAGAGAGGGGAGGGGGGGACAGAGAAUGAAUUCAUAACCUGAAUUUGUUGUAUCCCAGUGAGUUCCUUGCAGAAAUCAGUAAGAUGUUGAUGAUAUGCAGGCCGCACAUAUGUUUGAAAAACAGCUUCUAGUUGACCAGUUGCACUGUUGACUAAGACAGAUGGGAACUCAAUGAUCUCCUGUGGAUGUGGAUUCCUUUCCUUGUCACAUGUGGCCUCGAAGUCAAUAACUACAAAGUACUGAAAUUCUUGAAUUUGAAAUUUAUGUGGGUGAACUUGAGAAAACAUCUUGACUGGUGGCAUAUAACUAAAUCCGUUUUCAACAGGAAAUGGAUAAUCCCGGGUUACUGGAUAGACAUUGUUCUCAAAAGCAUUCAGUUGGACUUGCCGCAACAUUAAAAAAUCAGGAUGGGGAAAUGGCAGUGCAAGUGUUUCUUGUCUGUAGAAAGGUCCACUGUAACCUUGAUUUAGUAUUGCAUAGGGCUCCCAACUCAUUGAGUUAUUUGCUUUUGUAAAAUCACAAACAGGUAAAUCCUUUCCAUCUUUUAGCUCAGGAAACCGUUGAACAACAUUUCCACUUUCUUGAGAGUUCGAAUGAGAUGCAUUAUCUUUAGGGCAUCCUGGGGAUGCCUCACGGUUUCCUUGCAUUUUAUCUGCACUCGAGUAAAUAACAUAAGCAAAAGCCAAAGUUGCAUAUAUGUAACAUGAUUACAUAAGAAAGAUCCACGUGAAUUGAAAAUUGACAGCAUUCACUAAAUGUUCAGUCCACAACAAGCCUGCUUUGGCACUUUGCAUGCCCCUCAAUAUGAGGUCAAAAAUUCUUGAUAGCAAUUUAUAGCAAAACAAUGGCUGAGGAAAACAAUUGUGUGCCAAAGAUUUUGUGAGAUAGCAUAAUAAACAUCACAAACCUUUUGUUUUAAUCAAAAGUCACAAGUAGUAGCUUACUUUAUUGAAGUAUGACAUAUGCAGCAUACUCGAGGCAAAGUUUUAAAGAAAAGAACAAUGUAAAUAUUGGUCAAAAGAAUCACUGAGUUUCAAAAAGAAAAAGAAACAAGAGCACCAUCCCCCAACCCAUACAAGUUUGACAUGCAUGUGCAAUGUGUUGGCAAAACACAUAAUUGGACAAACUUCCAUCGCACUAAAAAAAAUUAUAAAUUUACAACAAGGGUUAUGUUGUUGGGACUCGGGGGAUAAGAUUACACAGCAAUUAUGAACACAAGUUAUAAGUUCCUUUGAUCAAUUGUUUGAUCAAUGUUAACAUAAUGAUAUUCUUGCAUCACAGCUACCUCUGAAAAUAAAUUCAUUCCGUUUUUAUCAAUACUUCCACAAAAACUCAAUAAUGGAUUCUUUUAAAUAACUGAAUUUUCUUUUCAAUCCUCCUCUUUUGUUACAUCUUUCAUGCCAAAUCUUCUCUGGUAUUGGCAUCAUCACCUGAAUAAAAGCAAAGAGCUCCUUCAACAUUGCAAGUGCAUCAAAUUUCCACUCAUGCUUCUUUUUCUCCAAGUGGAUGAAUGUUGCCAAUCAUGUAUUCUGCCAUUAUUCUUCAUGCAUUGGAAUAGGUUAUUACAUUUGAAAUCUGCAACUGUAGUGCUUGAAAGUGAAUAGUCUGGUGAACCACUAAUUCAAAUAUAACCCAUUGAACAUGAGCUAAUUCAGAGCAGCACUAAAAUCUGAUUGAAUGUCAAAAAUCUAUAUUUUCAUAUAGUUUUUACUUUUUAACACAUAUGUAUGGGAGGAACGGAAUGUUAUAAUAUUAAGCCAGAGUGAGACUAGCUAAUACAAUCAAAGCAAGAACAGAAUAAGGGGAGGCCAGCAAAAAUCUUGUAACACCAAUUUCCAUACUGUUUAUUUUGCAUGAAUAAGUAAGUGGGCCCAGCUUUAUUUUGGUCAUAACUAUAGAAGAAGAGUACUAACACCUACCAAAUUGAUAUCAGCUCAGCCACCUUUUUAUUAAAUAAUUAAAAAGCAACAAGCAAAAUCCACUUUAAUAAGCAUGAAAUUUUAGACUUGAGGUUUCUAGUUCACUAAUCAAAUGAUUCUAAAAAAUAGUGGACAAUAAUUACCAUAUAUAAUAUUCUAAUUAAGACCUUAAAAGACAAAUUAACACAAGACAAAAAUAGUUGAUUUCUAAGUAAUAAAUUAGUUCUUCUUGCUGGUCCUUAUUUCAAUAUUGGCCUCCUACUUAAGCCAACAUUAGGCAUCCAAAAGUUGCCACAUUAUUGUUAGAUUAGCUCUAGAUGAACUUGAUUUCUUAAAGAGAGAAAGAUGCAACUGAGAGGAGUAAGGAAAAACUUUAAGCAGCUUUCCUUCCUUUUUCUGGUUAGCUGAGUGCUAAUCUAGAUCAGCAGCAAUAUACAGAUAUGUUCUUUCUUUCUUUGUUUUUUAUUGGAAGUAUCCAUAUGGUCAUACCACAAUCUGAGGACAUGAUUAGAUUAUUCUAAACACUGUAAUGAACUAUGAGAAUUGAUGAAAAAUUCAUCUGGUCAUAGACCUGUUUCUUUUCCAUUUCAUUUCUUUAUAAUCUUCUUUUUUUAGAACUUUCUUUUCUUGUUUGCUGUAAACUCACAUGUGGUUCACAUAUUAUAGAGUCCACUGAGAUCCUUCGCUUUUUAGAAACUGUUCUCUCUUUGUUUCUUCUCAAUGUCCUCUGAUAAGUUAUAUUAAUAGGCACUGCUUUCUGUGCAUAACAAGUAUCUUGAUAAUUUUAUCAAUAUGAACCAAAACUUUGAAAUUAAACCAACUCUCUAUACAUAUCCUGGAUCAACCAGCACAUCAACUACCAAGUUUGACUUACUCAAACUUCCUAGCUACUUCAAAUUUUCUGAAUUGUUUCUUGCACAAUGAUAUCUUUAUAUGGCAACCUUUGCCUGCUAACAGAGGAAUCUAAUCAUCCAGGCAAGUUGUCUCCAUAGGCCCUUGAUGUAUCUCAAGUGUAGGAUUAGAUUAGUCCAAAAUAGGUUUAUCUUCAAGUUACUAGUCCUCAAAGAAAGUCAAUUUAUUUAUGAAUCUUGAAACUAGAUUUCCUAUUUCAUAUAUUUUGUAGUUGAUAUUUUAUCUAACUGUACUUUUAGGAAGUUCUAAGGUCGUUCAAAAGUGCCAACAUUACAUGAUUCAGUCAAUAGAUUCCUAGAAGUCAUGUCUAUUUAAGAAUCUUUGUUACAUUUAACCAUGGAGAAUCUGUUAUUAUGAGAUAGUAGUACUUACAGUAUCCAAGUAAUGGAGUCAUUUUAUGUAGGGUGUCCAAUUAGGAUUAUGUUAAAUGGGCCAAGUACCUGCAUGACAUGUAGCAAAGCAGGAUGAAGAGAAGUAUUAUUUAUGAAGAUGUCCAUCCAGAAUGUGCAUUGUGUGAAACACCACAAUCUCCAGUUACACUCUAUGAAGAAUUGUUGGUUACUUUAAAUAAAAUUCCUAGAGUGGUACUGCUCCUCCCUUAUGUACUGAUCCAUUCAUGAUACAUCAUAAUCUCUCAGCUCUUAGUUAUGUCAGUGCUCUUCAAACCUUUUCUAUGUGCAUAUAUCAUUUAUAUUAAUAUUUCACUAUUUUGUCAUGUCCUCCUAUGUUAUUAUUUUCCUUUUCUAAACUAAUUUGCAGAUGCUUUCCUGGUUCAUCUGAGUAACACCAUGCCUAAUAGGUGGUAAUUUAUAAAUGACGAGAAAGACAAAUAUUUGACAUUACACUUCAAAAGCUUAAUAACACUGCUUGAAGCACCAUUAAAUUUUUUCUCGUUUUUCACCUUCAAAUUCAGUAAACAAUGAGUAUUUUCCAUAAUAGCUUCAAUUUGCAAAACUUAAGGAUGCUUGUCCAUGACUUUGUAUUGUAUCGGACUAUUGAUAGAUUAGCACAACAUUCACAGAAGAAUUAAACUGAGAGAAACUCUAUAUUAUUUUGAGGAUUGAAUAGGAUAACCAAACAAACUGGGGAUGAACCUAAGAACUUCCUGAUCAGUAUAUGUAAAAUUUUUCAGAGGACAACAAUUCAAUGAGUACAGUCUAAUUGACAAACGUAAUCAGUUAUUAACAUUCCAUAAAGAAAGAAAAACAAACAGCUAUGUGAUAAUAUGCUUCAGUAUUUACCAUCUCAAGCUGUAAAUUCAAUGUAUGUUUGUGAGAUAGUGUCCUUUUUAUUCCACAUUCUAAAUUAGCGCAAACCUAAAAAAAAUGAGCAUAAGUUUCCACCCUAGGCAGAAAGUUUUCCAAUUAAUUGAAAGUUAGGAGACAUACAAAGCCAUAUGACCUAAAGAAGGCAUGUAUUUUUUUACUGUAUAACCCACUUCUGGGACAAAAUAAUUUCAAUUGCUGAUUUCGUCUAAGGAUCCGAUCUAAGAAAAAACACAAACAAGUUACAGUCAAUAUAAACCUAACAAAAUUUUAGCAAGAAUGACCAACGAAAAGAACCAGAACAACGUCCGCAGGUAUUUCAGAAACCCUGAACAAGAAAAAUAAAACCAAUGUCCUUCGAACUACUCUCAGAAGGAAAAUCUAUUGAUACGUCGGACCGUAAAAAAUUUUCCGGAUCAAGAACGAGUACCAUCAUCCCUAAUUCUCACCGUCCCACCAUCGCAACCGUCAAGAUCGACCACUAACCCGAAAAGGGUGCCGAUCUUUCACCCAAGAAACCAGUAAAGAAUUCAAAGAUCCGACGCGAGAAAACGAUGAGAAUACCCUACCUUGGGCCGCCGGAUCAAUCAUGAUCGCCGAGGAAGCUUGGUCCCUCCAAAGCACGGAUCAGAUUCUGCUCCCCAUCGCUCGACCUAAAACCCACCAAGAUCGAGACAAUAUCAAGAUCCAGCAAGACAAACGGAACAAGGUGAUCAGAAAUCAAACAAAUUGGGCUUCAAUUCGAUCGAGAAAAGAAGGAAAGCUCGGAUCUUUCUCCGUCGCCGUUCUUACAUGUGCGUGAGGGGAUCGGAGGAAGAGGAGAGAGGGCAGCGAGACGAGCGAGCGGCCUCCGUGCACAACUGGGUCUCGCUUCUUCGCUAUAAGACGAGACCUGUGUCAGGGUAAAUGGUUCCGGAUUCACUGUUUGCUACAGAACAGAGGACACCGAUCUCAUCCGAAGCCGAACGAUCUUAAUUUAUACGUGGCCAUCAAUCGUUGGCGGAUAAGUGCUGCUUUUCCUCGUGGAAUUUAGAGUGGAGGGAAUAAAGGGGCCCGCGCUUGUGUUUCGGUUCCUAGUGGGCCCCUCGUGAGAGAUGUUUUCAUUGCUUCCCGAUAGCGCACCGGAUGAUCGACAGCUGGUGAAUCCUACGGUCAGAAGCCAGGAGGAAGGUGCGGAGGAGCCACGACGCUCGCAGGGCAUCCGUUACAUCGAGGGGCAUGGUGGGGCGUCCCAACCGUCACGGGGCGGUGGUGCCGCAACGGCGGAGCCGCGGAUCGCUGCGUGGAGGCCGGCCCGCUUACUCCGAUCCAAUGAUACAUCGGCUUAGGCGGGGUCCACAGUUUCGGAAGCGGAUUAUGACACGUUUGGGGACCACCGGCCCAUCGUGGUGGUAUGAAAGACGGGCACGGGGAUUUGGUGAGCCGAGGCGCUCAAGAGGUGGGACAUGUUUCUCUUGAUAUUUGACCCUCAACCACAAACGUGUGGAUGUGUUCGAUUCAGGGUCAAAAUAAAUAUUUAAGUUAUUUUAAUUCGAGUAAUUACAUUUAUUAGAUGAUGAUUUAAGAUACGGAUAUAAUUUUGAGGAAGAGGAGACGAAGAGAGCGAUGAUGUGAAAGGAAGAGAAGAGACGACGAUACGAGAGGUCAAAGGAGAUGGAAGAUAAUUUAUGACUUAAUUGAAUCGGACUAGUUUGAUUCAUCGAAAAAACACUUAGUCAAAGAAUAAUCAUCAUCUUUUUAUAUUUUUUAUCGAGGAUGUCUUAGUUAAAAUUGAAAAAGGUAUACUCUUUCAUAAAAACUAAAAUCUUGAUUUUUUUUAUGAGUAAAUUGGAUAAUUAUGAAUAUUGAAUAUUAGUAUAUUAAUGGUGUCAAAGGGAAUCCUAAGAGUUAAAAGACCAAUUUCUUUUAUGAAAUUAUUGUUUAAAUACAUGAAAAUUGAAGAAUCUCCAAUGGAUUAAGGCACUUUAAAUCUGCAAAGCCAAACAGUUGCUUGAGUUGGUUGUAAGUGCUUAAUCUGUAAAUGGUAGUCAAAUCUCUGCAAGAAAGGUUGUGUCUUCUCAUUUCAGUGAUAAAGGGCAGUAUGUAGCAUAAGUUAGAGAAUGAUUCAAAGUUUAGAAACAGCAAACCACUAAUAGCAUAACAAUCCAUGUCCUAAGAAUAUGCAAAGCCAGCAAAUUACAGAGGCAUAAGCUCACUCUUAAAACAACCCUACCUGUGUCAAAUUCUACAAGAAAAACCAAGUAUGUUCACUGUGAUUCUUUGUCUCAGAACAAUUGCCAGAAACAUUGUUUCUGUGAUGGAGAAGAUGGUGUAGAGACAGAAGAACUCAUGCACUCUACUAACUGAUGCUUAGUAGAAGGCUUCACCAUGGGACAAUGAUUGCUUCAUUUUUUUUCUGUACUGGGGAUAGAAACCUGACUGAGGAAAACAUACCAAAAUGGAGUUGAAAAGACAUACCAAGCUCCAUUUCAAAUGUUCAAUUCCAAAAGAUAUAAGUUUCAAUGACAGAGAGGUUAGGUAGUGUAUGAUUGUGGCUUACCACAAAGAGUACCUUAAUAGUGUCAAGGCUUUCUAUUUCUACUUGUAACCUUUCCAAUUGUUUGCAUCAAUUACUAUAGUGGUGUUGAGAAGAAGAGUAUGUUUAUCACUUUGAUGGGAAAAAAGAUUCCUUAGAUAAAAACUAAUUAUAGGAGUAUUAUUUGGUAAAAAUCCAUCAAUAAAACUUUUCUAAUAAAAUGUCCGAUAUAUAUACUGAACAAAUUGAAGUUGAGCUUUUUUGUGUACCUGUUUGAAACUACAAGAGAUCGAGAGAUUGAUUGUCUUCUCUGCUUUUCUUUAGAUUCUCAAAGUCAAAUCAGCUGAUUACAGAUAAACAAAUCCUUGCAGAAACCGAUUAAUCUAUACAAUUUCUAAUUGCAAAAUCCUUCCCAUCUCAAUUUCAAGAGUCUACAAUCGUUGAUUUUUGAGUUAUCUCCUACUGUCUGAAGUCUCUCUCUCUCUCUCUCUCUCUCUCUCUCUCUCUUGCCUUUUCAUGCCGCCAUUUAUGGCCAAUGGCAACCUUGGAAGGUGAACGGCUCAGCUUAUUUCUACCAAGCCUUCUGUCCUAACAAUCUCUCGUGUUUGAUCUCUACAUGAGAAGAAGCUAAGAUGAAUAGGGAUUACAUUUGUAUCAGAUCCUAACGAAGAAGAUGCUGAGCUCCGGCCCGGCGUUGCCGUCGGGGUUGAGCAUGUAGAACGUCUCCGAGUCCUUGGACCCGACCACCCGGUCGAAGAAGGCGCGCAUGUAGGUGAGCUCGCCAUCGGACGGGUCGGUCAUGUCCCCCGGCAGGACGCCGGCGCCCAUGGACACCGCGUGCAGCAGCUGCAUCACGCCAAGGUCCAGUUCCGUGGGGUCCCGCCGGGCGGCGUAGCCGACGUUGCGCCCGUUGACGAAGGCGCUCCACAUGGGCUCGUCCAGCACGCGGCUCUUGCCGGCGCCGGCGGCGGCCUUCUUCUCGCACUCGAGGGCGACGCGGAUGAGGCCGGAGGAGCCCAUGUCCUGCAUGAACCUGGCGGUGGGGACGGCCAGCUCGAGGAGGAGGUGGGGGACGCUGCGGGGGUUGUCCUGGAAGGCGAGGGUGAUGCGGGCCUUGCGGUGGCCGAAGAGGGUGCCGGUGGUGCGGGUGGCGCCGCGGACGUGGCCGUCGCGGUGGCGGGAGCCUUGGUGGGGAGCGGCAGCUGGGAGGUGGCAGCCGGGCGGGGCGAGGAUGGGCAGGGAGCGGAAGGCGGAGCGGAAGGAGCGGAGGAACCUGGUGGGUUUGGAUUGGUGGUGCUUCCGUUGCGAUGGCUGCAGCAGGGUGACCGGGAACCGGUGCACACUGGACUCCGUCUCCGUCCCGUCGGAGUCCACCGCCGCCUCGCCCGGCGGGGGAGGGGGUGGUGGUGGCCGUGUCAUGGGGUGGUUGUCGACGCAAAGCGGCCGGAGCAAUGUCCGUCCGGUGGCGGCUGUCGGCACAAUCCUAAAUAUAUAUGUAUAUUGAGAGAGAGAGAGAGAGCUUUGACGGAUGGAGGGAGGAAGGAGGAUGGCGGGAGAGAAGGAUGGUGGUGAAGGGGGGAGAGCGGUUACGUUUCGUCUCUUAAGUUAGUGAAGAGUUAUGGCUGUGCAUGUUUUGAGGCGGGAAGAGAGGGGCAUUGAAGGGGUGCGGGUUUCACACCGGAAACGCUUCUUCCAGCCAACGCCCCACAACAACUGUAGACUGUCUCGUAUCCAUCCAUCUUAUACUAAUCGAUAGAAAUGAGCCCACACUGGUAUUUUCUUACAAGCUUAACAUAAAUAAAAAUUAUUAAAAAAUUUUGCCACACGGGGAUAUACCACACUGGUAUUCGCUUAGCAUACGAGAGGUACGGGGAUGAUAGACAAAGAAGAUGCACUUGUUAACAAAAAUCUCACCGCAGGAUUAUCUCAAAUAUGAUUCCUUUGAGAUAGACAAAAACUUUUGUAGUGGAUUCUUAAAAAAAACAUAGUGCUGCCAUAAUUUGACCAUCCUUGUGUUCAUAAGUAGACAAAGAAGAUGCACUUGUUAAUAUAAUCUUAAUCUCGCUUCAUGGUUAUCUCAAAUAUGACUCCGUCGAGGUUGGCAACAACUGAUCUUGUCCCAUCCACUUCGUCGAUCUGUAACCCAUGACGGAUAGCUUCACUGACAACCAUAGCGUCUAUCAUGUUAACAAGAGACAUACACAUAAUCAUUAAUGAUGUCAUUAAUCACUAAUAGUUGUUAUAUUACAAAACUAUGAAACACAAGUAAAAGGAGGUAUAACGUGAAAUGGUUUGUAGCAGAAAAAUGACUAAUUGUAUACAUGAUGAAUAUUCCACUUUGUUAACUAAUAGGCGUGACAAUGGAAUACCCUUGAAGGUCCACCAUUAGCACAGAGUCAAAUGUUACACACGUGUGAAUAUUAAAUGCCUGGAUUAAGAAUUGUAAUUUGUUAUAUAAAAACUACACUGAUACAAUAUGAACGGAGUUGAUUUCUGUAUUUCUGUCUUCACUUUGAAAUCCAAAUUUACAAAUGACCAAAUUAAUAUAAAUAAAAUCAUUUACUUGACUAUGUUCUCUCUUUCCUAAAUAAAAUAAAUUAUGGGGAUGCAGCUCAGAUGGUAAAACGCUCGCUUAGCAUGCGAGAGGUAUGGGGAUCGAUACUCCGCAUCUCUAGUUUUAAAUUUAUGACAAUACAACUACUGGGUUAUCUCAAAUAUGACUCCUUUGAUAUUAGUAAUAAUUUUUGUAGUGGAUUCUCAAAAGAAACAUUGUGCUGCCACAAUUUGACCAUCCUUGUGUUCUUAAGUAGACAAAGAAGAUGCACUUGUUAAUAUAAUCUUAAUCUCACUUCAGGGUUAUCUCAAAUAUGACUCCUUCGAGGUUGGCAACAACUGAUCUCGUCUCAUCCACUUCGUCGAUCUGCAACCCAUGACGGAUAGCUUCAUUGACAAGCAUAGCGUCCAUCCUGUUAACAGGAGACAUGCGCAUAAUCAUUAAUCGUGUCAUUAAUCACUAACAGUUGUUAUAUUACGAAACUGUGAAACAUAAGUAAAAAGAGGUAUAACUUGAAAUGGUUUGCAGUAGAAAAAUCACUAAUUGUAUACAUGAUGAAUAUUACACUUUGCUAACUAAUAGGCGUGACGAUGGAAUACCCCUGAAGGUCCAUUAGCACAGAGUCAAAUAUUACACGUGUGAAUAUUAAACGUCUGGAUUAAGAAUUGUAAUUUGUCAUAUAAAACUACACUUAUACAAUAUGGAUGGAGUUGAUUUCUAUCUUCACUUUGAAAUCCAAAUUUAUAAAUGACCAAAUUAAUAUAAAUAAAAUCAUUUACUUGACUAUGUUCUCUCUUUCCUAAAUAAAAUAAAUUAUGGGGAUGUAGCUCAGAUGGUAGAACGCUCGCUUAGCAUGCGAGAGGUACGGGGAUCGAUACUCCGUAUCUCUAGUUUUAAAUUUAUGACAAUACAACUACUGGGUUAUCUCAAAUAUGACUCCUUUGAGAUUGGUAAUAACUUUUGUAGUGGAUUCUCAAAAGAAACAUUGUGCUAGACAAAGAAGAUGCACUUGUUAAUAUAAUUUUAAUCUCGGUUCAGGAGACAUACACAUAAUCUUUAAUCAUGUCAUUAAUCACUAACAGUUGUUAUAUUACGAAAUUGUGAAACAUAAGUAAAAAGAGGUAUAACAUGGUUACAUGGUUACGUGAAAUGGUUUACAGUAGAAAAAUGACUGAUUGUAUACAUGAUGAAUAUUACACUUUGCUAACUAAAUACAUGAUGGAGUUGAUUUCUGUUUUCACUUUGAAAUCCAAAUUUACAAAUGACCAAAUUAAUAUAAAUAAAAUCAUUUACUUGACUAUGUUCUCUCUUUCCUAAAUAAAAUAAAUUAUGGGGAUGUAGCUUAGAUGGUAGAGUGCUCGCUUAAUAUGCGAGAGGUAUAGGGAUCGAUACCAUGCAACUCUAAUUUUUAAAUCUAAGACAAUACAACUGAAGGAAUAUGGUGCUGUCACAAUUGAACUAUUUUUUUUAUUCUGAAUAGACAAAGAAGAUGCACUUGUUAACAAAAAUCUCACAAGGUUAUCUCAAAUAUGACUCCUUUGAUAUUGGCAAUAACUUUUGUAGUGGAUUCUCAAAAUAAACAUAGUGCUGCCACAAUUUGACCAUCCUUUUGUUCUUAAGUAGACAAAGAAGAUUCACUUGUUAACAUAAUCUUAAUCUCGCUUCAGGGUUAUCUCAAAUAUGACUCCUUUGAGGUUGGCAACAAUUGAUCUCGUCCCAUCCACUUCAUAGAUCUGCAACCCAUGACGGAUAGCUUCACUAACAACCAUAGCGUCCAUCCUGUUAAUAGGAGACAUGCGCAUAAUCAUUAAUCGUGUCAUCAAUCACUAACAGUUGUUAUAUUACGAAACUGUGAAACACAAGUAGAAAGAGGUAUAAUGUGAAAUGGUUUCUAUAAUUUGCUAACUAAUAUGUGUGACGAUGGAACACCCCUGAAGGUCCACCAUUAGCACAGAGUGUUACACACAUGUGAAUAUUAAACGCUUGGAUUAAGAAUUAUAAUUUGUCAUAUAAAAACUACACUGAUACAAUAUGGAUGGAGUUGAUUUCUAUCGAAAUCCAAAUCUACAAAUGACCAAAUUAAUAUAAAUAAAAUCAUCUACUUGACUAUGUUCUCUCUUUCCUAAAUAAAAUCAUCUAUGGGGAUGUAGCUCAGAUGGUAGAGCGCUCGCUUAGCAUGCGAGAGGUACGGGGAUCGAUACCCCGCAUCUCCAAUUUUAAAUCUAUGACAAUACAACUCAAGAAAUAUGGUGCUGUCAUAAUUUAACUAUCUUUUUUAUUCUGAAUAGACAAAGAAGAUGCAUUUGUUAACAAAAAUCUCACUGGGUUAUCUCAAAUAUGACUCCUUUGAGAUUGGCAAUAACUUUUGUAGUGGAUUCUCAAAAGAAACAUAGUGCUGCCACAAUUUGACCAUCAUUUUGUUCUUAAGUAGACAAAGAAGAUGCACUUGUUAACAUAAUCUUAAUCUCGCUUCAGGGUUAUCUCAAAUAUGACUCCUUCAAGGUUGGCAACAACUGAUCUCGUCCCAUCCACUUCGUCGAUCUGCAACCCAUGACGGAUAGCUUCACUGACAACCAUAGCGUCCAUCCUAUUAAUAGGAGACAUGCGCAUAAUCAUUAAUCGUGUCAUUAAUCACUAACAGUUGUUAUAUUACGAAACUGUGAAACACAAGUAAAAAAAGGUAUAACGUGAAAUGGUUUGCAGCAGAAAAAUGACUGAUUGUAUACAUGAUAAAUAUUCCACUUUGCUAACUAAUAGGCGUGACGAUGGAAUACCCCUGAAGGUCCAUCAUUAGCACAGAGUCAAAUAUUACACACGUGUGAAUAUUAAACGCCUGGAUUAAGAAUUGUAAUUUGUCAUAUAAAAACUACACUGAUACAAUAUGGAUGGAGUUGAUUUCUGUCUUCACUUUGAAAUCCAAAUCUACAAAUGAUCAAAUUAAUAUAAAUAAAAUCAGCUACUUGACUAUGUUCUCUCUUUCCUAAUUUUUCAAGUAUAUGUUUUUUCUCUUUCCUUGCAUUUUGCUCUCUUAAUUAAUAUUCAACACUUUCUAGUCAAAUAUACACGAUUAGUUUGUCAACAAAUUUAUUAUCAUAUACAAAUAUUUAUUAUCAUAUACAAACAUUUAGUUUGUCAACAAGUGUUCGUAGCAUCUGAUGCUACAAAAAACAAACAUGAACAUAGGACAGUUCAAUUGUAUUACCUAUGAGGAUAAAUAUAUUAUACAAUUUGGACAGUCUACAACCAUUAGAUAUGUAGCUCACGACAGUUAUCAGAACCCGCAUAACCGAUGCAUUGUAAUAAUUUCUGCCUCAGAAAAUAUCAAUACAAUAACAAAAGUUGGAAAUUCUUGAGGCAAAUACUCAUCAGGUGGUGUGGAGAUGCAUUACAAAUGGUGUAAUGCGUGUUUAAUAAAAAAAAUUAUGCAACAAAGAUAAAUCGACUUAUUCAUGGAGUGAACAGUAUAUGCCCAUGAGCCAUACAAGUAAUUGUUAGCAACAUGGAGUUAGAACAAGUUCUAGAUGAAUUUAAAGAAAAGAAAGAAAAGGUAAUGGCCAUAGGAUGACAAUGAGGAACACACUUACAACUUAGCACGAGACACAUAAGCCAGUAUAAAUUUGCACUCGCCACCCCUGUGACGCAGAAGCUUCUCUACAGUACUGAAAAGAAAAGGGAUGCUGGACUGCUGAAAGCUUAGAUAAUGUCAAGGAAAGAAAAAGCAUGACAGCUGAAUAACAAAAGAAAAGGUUGCAAAAAAUAUAGGAUAUAGAUAUCAGCUCCAAGAACAAGAUCAAAUCCUGUAGGGUACUCCUCUAAAAUUUUGCUCAAAUGAUCACUAUUUCCCCAUUCUAGUUUCUCAGCUCUUAACACUGCAAACCAAAUGUAUUAAUCCACCUCAAUUUUAAGUAUAUACAAAAGAAAUGCCACUAUUUUUGUCAAAGAUGCUCCAUAACUAAAAAGACAUCAGAUUCCUAUGAACCUUCAAUACAUAACAAAUUUACUGAAAAUUAAAACAUCUUACCAGCAGAUGUUGGGGUGUCUGAAGUUGAGUGGAGUUCUAUAUUUUUCCUCAUUAUCUAAGAGGGAACAAACAUCAGUUCUCACAAAAUCACGACAAAGACUGCAGCACAUGUACAAGAUCCAAGUGCAUAAAGAAAUGCCUCUAGAAAUUCUCAAUCACAUUUCAACUGAAUAUAUUUUCUCGAUUCAUCGAUUUAAGGUGUAUACCAUAGCUGUUUUCAUUUUUUAUCUAUUGAGACUAUUUUCAUUUUCUUUGCAUUUCUAUAAUUUAAAAUGGACACAUUAAGAGACUGUCAUGUUAGACAGCUUCUCUAGUUAAGGCCUGCUAUUGGACCUUGCCUUAAAGCAUGUAACAGUAUCAAGGUACCGGUUAGAUGGUUUUUGGACCUUGCCUCAAGAACUUCCUCAUUGUGAUCAGUUAGUACAACCUCAUGGCAGAAUCUACUACAUAAAAUACCUGUAACACCUGAAAAAGAAAAGCAUGUUUAGUCUAAUAGAGGAAAGAUUAAAGAGGAGAAAGACAGAGUCAUUGUCAGCUCACCAACUCCAGAGCCUAACUCUAUAACUGAACAUCCUUUAAGUAUACCAGCAUUCUCUGAAAGGUAAUUGUUCAGCAACACUGCACCAGGCCAUACUAAUUGCCCUGUAAGAUCGAAGUCGGCUGCCAGAAAUCGAUAGACUUACUAUAAGCAAAACAAAAUCAUCAAAGUCUCAAAUAUAGUUAGUGUUUGUCUUUCCUAAACGAUCAAAACUGCUACCACACAAAGUACACAGUACUUUGUUCCAUUAUCAGGAACAGAUAGAGGAUAAAACUUUUCUUACUUUGAAACUAGAAGCAUUUUAACUUGUGGAAUCAUCAGAGAUGAGUAGUUCUAAGGUUAAUCUUGAGACUAAGGAAUCAUUUCUGGCAAUGAUACGAGGGUAAUGCGGAAUGGAUUUUGAAAAAAAGCCGAUAAUACAGUUGUAUUUGCUGGAAUAAGUUUUUCGGAUAAAAAAAGAACGAACUCACUAUAAUACUUUAAUAAAAUCAAAAAAUAACUCACCACAAGUUUAAAAUCACAAAGGGAUACAAAAAUUUCACCACCCCAAUGAUAAUAAAUAAGGAUAUAGAACUGAAAACAAAAGACUCACCAUUCAAAGAAAUAUCCAAGAGAUACAGAGUUUAAGAGAGAACUCCAAGAGAACUUAUGUCAACAUCAUCAGUUUCUAAACUCCUUUCUAGCCCUAAAACAUCAAAAUAAGUACUAGUGCAUGAAACAAUCCUUCAUGCAUAGGGAAUUACGAAAUUAAAUGUUUUACAAGUCGGUAACUAACAUCUUUAAUGCAUUCUUUGAUCAUGAAGAAAAUCACUUUGAAACAGUUUUAACUUUGUCCAAGGAACAUGUGCAUGAAUUGUCAUAUUUGAGUGGACUGGAUUAAAGGCUAUGAGAUGACAUUGCGGACUGUAGAGAAUACCAUAUAAUCAGCAAGAUCCACAUGAGCUGAUUGUAGUAAAUUAGGCACUCCCAUGUCAGGGCAGUAGAUUCUGAUAAGUUGAUCAAUGGUUUAAAACCAAGUUUUUACCUUUGUUUUGUACAUUAUGUGAGGACAUAAAUACACAAACUCCUAUUUUUCCCAGAGAUUUACUUCCAAAAGACUCUGGUACUGAAAAGAAAUGGUUACUUUUGAGGAUUAGGUGCUCAUCUUCUACCAAGAUAGCAUCUUAAUUAAAUACAGAAUAAAAGAGAUAACUUUGUGUAUUACAUGAUGAAAUAGAUCGAAAUGUAUAAGCGAGCAUACGCUUACAAAGAGAAGGCAAAAAGAAGAGACAAGAAAUGUGGCACUUACUGGAAGCAGAGCGAAGACAGAGGAGGUCGAGAGAAUGAGACCCAAACGAGAAGGUGGUGAGCUCAUAGCUGCAACGAGAGAAUGAGGGUUUACGAGGAACCAAACAGAGGAUGAGACGAAGAGACGAACACGGGUGGAGGGAGAAAUACUCGCGAUUGACGAAGAAGAACGAGGAUUCGCCUAAGCAGACCGUAUCGUCGUCUCCGUCUUCCAUCUGUCUCUGCUGCGUCAGUCGCCUCGUCAAGCUACCGCAAUCGCCGUCGCACCGCAGCAGAAGCAUAUGAAACCCCUCUUCCGAGUGUUGGGGGAAUGGACCGCCCCCAUUUGGUUCGGUUUUCUGAACCCGGUUCGGUUUAUGGUUUAGGGCUUUGAUAUAGGAAAAAUAUUUCGUGUUUCUGUUUUUCUUUUCAUUUUUAGGAUAUACCUCAGCCCUAUCCGUUUUUCUUUUCAUUUUUAGGCUCCUUCACCCAAGGCAUCAAAUGAUCUCGAACAAUAAUUAAAGGUCGAACUAUUGAUAGAAUGUGAUGACGAUCGAUGAGGAUGGUGCUCGCGAGAGUUAGUCCUUCACCCACUACCCUCACUCUUAUUUCCUUCAUGUAUUCUCUCCCUCCACCUCACCCAGGAUUUGAUCUCUCGAUUAGGAAGUUAGACUAUUAGCUCUCGACAUCAUUCACUCUCCAUCAAGAUGAUAGCGACACCAUCAUCAUUGUGGUAAGAGCAAUCUUGCUAUCAUCAAUGAUCACAUGAAAGCGAUGGGGUAAAGUCGAACGAUGACUAGAGGUAUUUAUUAUGUUAAAAAAAUAAAUGAAGAAAAAUUAAAAACUAUGUCUACCUCUCAUAAGAAGUCUUUUUUUGUUUUUUCUUUCAAAAACUCGCUCUUUGCCUAUACCACCCACACCGAGUAACAUAUAAACAUAAAUAAAAAAGAUAUUGAAAAAAUUUAUGUUGUGCCUCUGAACGCUCCAAAUUCCAUAUGGAUCAUUGUCAGUUCUCAUAAGGAGCCUCACGAUAGGGCCUAAGGGUUCAAAAGUCUACCAGGUCUCUUUUACCCUCAGAUGCACCUUUUGAAGCUUACAUGCUUCGAAAUGAUAAAACUAUGCGAGUACGCUGUCGCCCAAAGUGUACAAUUCUUCGCGAGCCUAUGGAUCGCACCAAUGACCGACCGACCAAAUGAUCUAGAUAUAACUACAAUGUAUAUAUAUUUAAUUAUAUUUACAUGAGGUUCAUCAGUAUUCUGAAUUGAUACCAAGAACAAAAGACACAUAAAAUGGAUUCGACUUUGCCAUCAAAUAGUACUCGGAGAGGAUGCUCGAGAUGAUUUCCUAUCACCACCAGAAUCUCUAAGACAACAUUUNNNNNNNNNNNNNNNNNNNNNNNNNNNNNNNNNNNNNNNNNNNNNNNNNNNNNNNNNNNNNNNNNNNNNNNNNNNNNNNNNNNNNNNNNNNNNNNNNNNNNNNNNNNCCUCUUCCCACUAGUUUACCUUCAUAUUAUUGAUAUUUUUUAUUAAUUAUUCGGAAAUGUUUUUUUUAUCCUUACUGUAUUUGUAUAAGAAAUUAUAAGAAAUUAGUCUAAAAAUAAUAAAAAUGUAGCUUGAGCCCAUCUAUUACUAUUAUAAGAAAAAUAUUAUGUGUAUCGUCAUCCGUCGUCAUUGAUGAGCAAGAAUCAAAUACGACAUGUCUUCCUUUAUCGAAAUUUUAUUUUUAUAACAUUGAUUCAGCUUUAGAUAUCAUCAUCGUCGUCAUCGUUAUCAUUAAUAGUAAUAAAAUAAUAUAUAUAAUAUAUUUUUAAAAAUAAUAUCUUUUUUUAAGACGACUCUUUUUUUUCAUAAUUUUCAAUUGAUCGAUGUCCCUUUACAUUAUAUUUCCUAUAAUAUUCUUGAUAAUAUACAAUAGUAGCUCUCAUAUUUUCUGAUCGAUCAAUCUAUUUCAUGAAUCGAUUCAUCGAUACUAAUAUUUUUAAAAUUUAUAGUAUUAUUUUAAAAUAAUAUAGUUAUUUUUCUUUCUAAAUAAAUAAAAAUACUUAAAGGUAUAUUAAAAAAUACGAUAACUAACAACAGGUAAAUCUCAUACAUUAUGAUUAGAUUUAUUUAUCCCCUGAUUACAUGCUCUAAUUGUAUUGUUAGAAGACAUUUCAAGAAUUAUGCUAAAUAAAAAGUGUUUUUAGAAUAUAUAAAAAUAAAGAUAUCUAUGGAUAUGUUUUUCCAAGAAUUCAUCCAUCUACUUCGGAAUUAUUUUAAUAUCUAUGAGAAUAUCGAAAAUAUUUCCGAUAAAACUGUUAGCUAUCGUCGGUUAUAUAUAUAUAUAUAAAUAUAUAUAUAUCACUGUCCGUCCAUUCAUCGGUCACAGAUCCGAACCGUUUGAUCCUUCAUCUGUUCAAGGACACCGAAGGGAUCACGACCGCACAUUUGUCCGAGUCAACGACGAAGACCAACGGUUCGUGGCCUGAAAGUACCAUAAAGUACAGACGGUGAAUAGUGCCGAAGGUUUUUCUUAAAUUGUAAUUUUGAAGUCCUUAGGGAUGUAAUCAUAAAAGUACCAUUUCAAUCCCCAGCUGACACCAAAAAAGGCCGGACUUUUACGGUGCAGACGACAACACUGCGCGGUUGGAUUCGGUGUCCUGUAGAGAGAGAGAGAGAGAGAGAGAGAGAGGGGAGUCUGUGGGUAAUGUGGUCUUGGGUUCAAGUGUGUUCUUUACCUAUUAUGGCGGUUUUGGUUUUGUCGCAAGGGGUGGAAAGGAGAGAGAAGUGGUCCGUUUGUGUGUGUGUGUAGGUUUGAUGAAGAAGAUAUCGUCGUGCGACCGGGAACCGCCGCUGCGCAAUCGGGUUCUGGUCUCCUUUGGGAUGGGAACAAAUCGGACCGGUUGUCAUUACCCUAUAAUCUCACGUUAGUAAUUUUGAGUUCCGGAGGGUGGGAUUGAUUGGCACUGCAUGUGGAUUGUCGGAAAGGUCGGAUCUUUCCGUUGUCUUUUUCGCGUGGUCUCGGUUGUGCCCAUCGGAACCGCCGUUGAUCGGCGAAAAGAUUUGUACCCCAUUAGUUUUUCCGGCCACCGGUCUCGGAGCCGGCGGCCAAGAUUCGUUCUUGGAGUCGAUUUCUGCCGCGGACUGCUCUGGUGAGACGGAUUUGCCCUCGUAUACGUCGGGUCGUUCUUCGCCGGUGUCCUCGCCGUCGCCACCAUGGCGAGCUCGUCCGGGUCGGUUGAUUACUGGAGGAAGUUCUUCCGAAGCGCCAACUCCGACAUCUUCGAGGUCAUCGAGCAAGCGAUCCUGGUGGCGGCGUCGGAUUGCCCCCGGCAGUUCCGGAGCAGGAGGGAUCAGAUCGUGGAGAAGCUCUUCGCCGCGCUGCUGCCGCGGUGCUUCGGCUGUGACCGCGUCGAGCUGAGAGGGGCCGAGGGGGACGGCAGCAUGAGGAGGCUCGGAGAGAAGGAGAGCAAGGCGGACAGCAGCAACGACGGGCCCGAGUCCUUGAAUCGGGCGGUGAGCAACUACACGUAUGACGAGGCGGAGGCGCUCACCGAGGAGAUCGAAGAGGAGGGCCAGAUUGUUGGAGAGGUCAUGAGGAUCAAAGAGAUCCUCGGAAACCAACACGAUGAGGUAAUUUGUGUGGCUUUUCAUCGAUUUAGUAUUGCAUUAUGAUCCAGAGAAUGUAAAUUGGCCGCAUUUAGAUGUGUGAUGUUGGUGGAGUACCAUUGAGCUUGAGCUUGCUGAUGCUUCUUUGCAGUCUGAUGCUGUCUUGUUGGAGUCUUUAAGGAGGCUGCAACUGAUGGAGCUUUCUGUUGAUGUCCUCAAGGUGUUGAUCUUGCAUUCCUCUCUAUCCCUUUUGUUCUAUGUUGGACUCAAGAUCAGGAUGCGUACAUUAUUGCAGCAAUUUGAUGAUUUCAAAGUGCCUGUAACUCCUUUGCAUCAUUGAUCUGUUUUGGUUUCUUUUGGUUGUUAGGCGACUGAGAUCGGAAGGGCUGUUAAUGGCCUGCGUAAACACAACUCGAAGCAAAUUCGCCACCUGGUUCGCACUCUCAUCGAGUGAGUUUCUCUUGUCGUAUGAUAUGGUUUACUGAUGGUGGUAGAGCAAAUGAUAUAUUCUAUAGAGUUUAGUGCACUGUUCUUUAUUUCAGAACGGAUGCAAGUUUAAGAUGUUUUUGUUGCUUGUGGAUAGUUUGUGAUCCUUUCUUUCUUUAGGUCAAGUAUACAAUUGCACUUUGCAUUGUGUGUGAUCAGAAGAUUUUUAAAUCUGAGUUUAGACUGAUGCAUUUGGUCUUGCUGGAAUCAGAAAUGGUUUCUUCAGUUUCUUUUGCAUUGGAUGUUGGAUGUGUUGUACCUGUUUGAUACUCGGUCGUGCGCUUCCAUUUAGUGAAAGAUAAAAAGGAAGCAAAAUUGUUUCCGGUUAAGAGGUGCAUAUACAAAUUGUUCUUAGACUUUUCUAAUCGCUUGGGUUUAUGUUUGGGUUGCAGUGGUUGGAAGGUUUUGGUUGAUGAAUGGGUCAGUGCUGCCGCUGCCGUUGCCGGUAUGUUAUAUGUUCAUCUCAUGUCUGGCACAGAUAUACAUUUAUGAUCUCUCAUAUGUGAGUAUGAACUUGUGAUUUACAGGUAACUCUCCAGACUCUGUAACUCCUUCUGUUAUCGAUGAUGAGGAAGGGCUUCCUUCUCCUCCAUUAGACGAGGGAGCACUAUUUGCUACUCAGACAACUUCCAUCCAACUCUCGAAGGUACGAUAUGAAAUAUUUGUAGCACCGUUGCUCUAUUCUUUACAAUUGAUAUAAUGUUCCACCUUUUCGUGCGCUAAUUGGGUGCCGUUUUAUGCGUCUUUUUACUCUUGGGUCUUGAAGUUCUUUGACGGAAUGGAUGAUGACGGAAGUGAGUACUGGGGCUUUUCGGAUUACCUUCUGGGUUUCCUUUUCUUGUUAAUUUUCUGAUUUAUGGUAUCAUCCUUGUGCUGGCAAUUCGCUGCAGAUUUUAGAAACAGUGGGGAGUCUGACGAGGGGUGGGAAAAUGGAACGAAGCCUACAAACUAUGAAAUAUUAAAGAAACAACAGCCUAUGCAGCUACCUGUUGCUCGAGAAGAGAACCGAGAGAUGAGGCGAGGUCCGCAACAGUCUAACUUUGUAAAAGAGAAGGGACAUGUAAGGAGGCGAGAGCCAUGGCAAUCAGCUAUUCCAGAAGAUAAGUUGCAUAUGAGAAGACGAGAAUUAGAAAUGAGGCAACCAGAGCUUCAUGAAAUCUGUGUCUGGCAAGCAACAUCCCAAAGCAUACUAAGCAAACAGAGCAAGGCUGUGAUUGUUGAAUCGGGACCAGGCAAAUCAGCAAAGUUCGCCCCUGAGCAGAAAGCAUCCAGCGAGGCGAAAGUUAAACAACAACAAGACACUGCUGCACUUAAAAGGAAGCCACCGAUGAUCCUGCAAGACGUAAGUUUAACCAAACAUAUGGAAAUUUGAAAUAUGAUAGGUUUUGAAAAAGUCUGAAACUUUUUCAUCUAUUAGAAAUCAAAAUACUCCGAAGAAGCUUCUGUCCAGGCUAAGCUGGAGGUCGUAAGGCGGAAGCUUCACGAAGGCUACCGGCAAGCAGAAAAUGGUUCGUUUUUUACUUAUAAGCUUCGAUCAGUUGCUCACAACUUUUUCUCAUGGCGCAAUUGUAGAAGUUAAUCUGAUUCAUGGCGUAUGUUUCAUAUGAUGCAGCAAAAAAGCAGCGAACAAUACAAGUAAUGGAGUUGCAUGAUAUUCCAAAGCAGGCACACAACAGCCAGCCUGUUCCGAAAUCCCGAAGCCACUUUAGGAAUCGGGCAAAUGGGUGGCAAUAGUUCAGUCAAUUAUCAAAUUGGAGUUUGGAAUUGCAGCCGAUGGCGUUCCUUUCUCAUUCAAAGGAAGAACCACAGCUCGCUGCAUUUUCCUUGCAUAUGGUACUGACACCUUAAUCAUGUAUCACCAUAAAGAGGGCACUCAGGAAGCCGGAAUGUCGACAUUUAUGUAGAACCAGGUGUACAUUAAUCUGAGAUAAAUUGCUGAUCAUGUACAGAAUUCGACAAACCCAUCACAUUUCUGUGUUUCUCGAUCUCUCCUUUACGACGUAAAAGCAACGCGUUACAGUUAGCAUCUCGCAGUUGCAGUUUCUCUGAAUGCCUCGGCUGAUUCUUGCAUGAUCACUUGGUGGCUAACUGCUGCAUUGCACUUCUUGUACAACUAUUACAUUGUUGAUUAUGGUUACAGUGAUGAUCAAUCAUGUAGUUGCGGCAACUUCAUUCAUUAUCUGGUAACAAACGACAUAUUCUGCAAUGCAUUCUGGUUUAGCCUAUUUUACACACUGGGAUUUACUGGACACAGUUGCUAAGAUCACUGCUGUUUCUUGUUGUUGGGGUUGUCAAUCAGAUUCAAGCUAAUGUUUCUGUGUCAACCAAAAGUGAAACCACA